CGCAGCACGCCGCGUGUGGGAUGACGGCUUUCGGGUUGUAAACCACUUUCAGUGAUGACGAAAAUGACGGUAAUCACAGAAGAAGGUCCGGCCAACUACGUGCCAGCAGCCGCGGUAACACGUAGGGACCAAGCGUUGUCCGGAUUUAUUGGGCGUAAAGAGCUCGUAGGCGGUUGUGUAAGUCGGAUGUGAAAACUCAGGGCUCAACCCUGAGACGCCAUCUGAUACUGCACUGACUAGAGUCCGGUAGGGGAGCAUGGAAUUCCUGGUGUAGCGGUGGAAUGCGCAGAUAUCAGGAGGAACACCAAUGGCGAAGGCAGUGCUCUGGGCCGGUACUGACGCUGAGGAGCGAAAGCAUGGGGAGCAAACAGGAUUAGAUACCCUGGUAGUCCAUGCCGUAAACGUUGGGCACUAGGUGUGGGGUCUUCUAACGGAUUCCGUGCCGUAGCUAACGCAUUAANUGCCCCGCCUGGGGAGUACGGCCGCAAGGCUAAAACUCAAAGGAAUUGACGGGGG
rnacentral:rRNA from 1 species